AGCAGCCGCGGUAAUUCCAGCUCCAAUAGCGUAUAUUAAAGUUGUUGCAGUUAAAAAGCUCGUAGUUGAAUUUCGGGAUCAAUUAAUUGGUCGUGCCUAUGGUACGUACUGAUUUUAUUGGUUUCUCCCUUCUGACGAACCAUGAUGUCAUUAAUUUGGUGUCGUGGAGAAUCAGGACUGUUACUUUGAAAAAAUUAGAGUGUUUAAAGCAAGCUAACGCUUGAAUACAUUAGCAUGGAAUAAUGAAAUAGGACGUUUGAUCCUAUUUUGUUGGUUUCUAGGAUCGACGUAAUGAUUAAUAGGGAUAGUUGGGGGCAUUAGUAUUCAAUUGUCAGAGGUGAAAUUCUUGGAUUUAUUGAAGACUAACUACUGCGAAAGCAUUUGCCAAGGAUGUUUUCAUUAAUCAAGAACGAAAGUUAGGGGAUCGAAGACGAUCAGAUACCGUCGUAGUCUUAACCAUAAACUAUGCCGACUAGGGAUCGGAUGAUGUUAAGUUUUUAAUGACUCAUUCGGCGCCUUACG
rnacentral:rRNA from 1 species